rnacentral:rRNA from 1 species
GUCCACGCUGUAAACGAUGGGUACUAGGUGUUCAGGGUAUUAACCCCCUGGGUGCCGUCGCUAACGCAUUAAGUACCCCGCCUGGGGAUUACGGCCGCAAGGUUAAACUCAAAGGAAUUGACGGGGGCCCGCACAAGCGGUGGAGCAUGUGGUUCAAUUCGACGCAACGCGAAGAACCUUACCUGGGCUAGACAACAUCGGACCGUCCCAGAAAUGGGGCUUUCCCGCAAGGGACUGGUGGUUCAGGUGCUGCAUGGCUGUCGU